AUCUAAGAUAAAAAUGGCUUAGUAGAUGCAAACUAUAGCAUUUGGAGUGGAAAAGCAAUGAGGUCCUACUAUACAGCACAGGAAACUAUAUUCAGUCACCUGUGAUGAAACGUAAUGGAAGAUAACAUGAGAAAAAGAAUGUAUGUAUAUGUAUCACUGGGUCGCUUUGCUGUAUAGCAGAAAUUGACAGAACUUUGUAAAUCAACUAUAUAAAAUUUUUAAAAAUACAGCCUGUACUUGAGCCAUCUAGUUAAAUCAAUAUUCUUAUUUUUUUCACGUACAUAUGUAGUUACUUCAUAUUCCUUAUAAUCUUAUAGCUAUAACUUAAAAUAUUACUUUCCACAUUUUCACCUUAAUUUUUACCACAAAAAUACUUACAUUUUGUGAAAAUCUGUUUACCUCCCUGUUUUCCGACCUUCUCUUUGCCCACACUGUAACCAGCAUAAAAAGCCUGAGAACAUCUCUCUGUUCAUAUCUCUGUUCAUUUAAAAAUAAUAAUAGUAACAAUAAUAGCAAACACUUACUUCAUGCUUAUUAUAAGGUAGGCAUUUUUUUUUUUUUUUUUUUUUUUUUUUUUU
rnacentral:lncRNA from 1 species